UUACCUGUAGCUCAGUGGUAGAGCUCUUGCCUCCGAAGCAGAAAGUUCCAGGUUCAAUCCCUGGCAGGUCCA